AGUCAAUAGAUACCCGGGUAGUCCACGCCGUAAACGAUGAAUACUAGGUGUAGGAGGUAUCGACUCCUUCUGUGCCGCAGUUAAACACAAUAAGUAUUCCGCCUGGGGAGUACGGUCGCAAGAUUAAAACUCAAAGGAAUUGACGGGGGCCCGGCACAAGCAGCGGAGCAUGUGGUUUAAUUCGAAGACAACGACGAAGAACCGUUACCUAGACUUGACAUCUUCUGCAUUAAUCGUAAUGGAUGAAAUCCCUUCGGGGACAGAAUGACAGUGGUGCAUGGUUGUCGUCAGCCCGUGUCGUGAG
rnacentral:rRNA from 1 species